UAAAAUUUCGCAGAACUUCAUGUCAUUACCACUAGUUUCUUAGGCAACAUGUUAGGUUAGUUUUUGGUUUCUUGAAAAAUCUUAGUCGGUUGGUCAUGCAAAACUUCACUCUAGAUAGGACCCAUCUGUCAUACGGCCAUAGGGAUGUGGCAAGAUUUUUUAGACAAGCCAAAGUUAUGGCAAGCUUUUUGUUUUUUUACACGAACUAACCUAUGUUAUUCUGUAAGAAAAAUGUACAUGAAGAGAUACAAACACAUAAAAGUGCUCAAAAAAGGCAGAGGGCAUAGCUGCUCAAAUCUUAUUACACAAAAGACCCUAAAC
rnacentral:lncRNA from 1 species